rnacentral:rRNA from 1 species
UACGAAGGGGGCUAGCGUUGCUCGGAAUCACUGGGCGUAAAGCGCACGUAGGCGGCUUUUUAAGUCAGGGGUGAAAUCCUGGAGCUCAACUCCAGAACUGCCUUUGAUACUGAGAAGCUUGAGUCCGGAAGAGGUGAGUGGAACUCCGAGUGUAGAGGUGAAAUUCGUAGAUAUUCGGAAGAACACCAGUGGCGAAGGCGGCUCACUGGUCCGGUACUGACGCUGAGGUGCGAAAGCGUGGGGAGCAAACAGG